rnacentral:rRNA from 1 species
AACGAACGCUGGCGGCAGGCCUAACACAUGCAAGUCGAGCGCCCCGCAAGGGGAGCGGCAGACGGGUGAGUAACGCGUGGGAACGUGCCCUUCGGUUCGGAAUAACUCAGGGAAACUUGAGCUCAUACCGGAUACGUGCGUAAGCAGAAAGAUUUAUCGCCGAAGGAGCGGCCCGCGUCCGAUUAGCUAGUUGGUGAGGUAACGGCUCACCAAGGCGACGAUCGGUAGCUGGUCUGAGAGGAUGAUCAGCCACACUGGGACUGAGACACGGCCCAGACUCCUACGGGAGGCAGCAGUGGGGAAUAUUGGACAAUGGGCGCAAGCCUGAUCCAGCCAUGCCGCGUGAGUGAUGAAGGCCCUAGGGUUGUAAAGCUCUUUCGCCAGGGACGAUAAUGACGGUACCUGGAUAAGAAGCCCCGGCUAACUUCGUG